rnacentral:tRNA from 2 species
ACUUUUAGCUCAGUUGGUAGAGCAACUGACUCUUAAUCAGUGGGUCGGGGGUUCGAGCCCCCCAAAGUC